rnacentral:rRNA from 1 species
UACAGAGGUCCCAAGCGUUGUUCGGAUUCAUUGGGCGUAAAGGGUGCGUAGGCGGCGCAGUAAGUCGGGUGUGAAAUCUCGGAGCUUAACUCCGAAACUGCAUUCGAUACUGCCGUGCUUGAGGACUGGAGAGGAGACUGGAAUUUACGGUGUAGCGGUGAAAUGCGUAGAUAUUCGCAAGAACACCAGUGGCGAAGGCGGCUCACUGGCCCGGUACUGACGCUGAGGUGCGAAAGCGUGGGGAGCAAACAGG